AGUGAACGCUGGCGGUAGGCCUAACACAUGCAAGUCGAACGGCAGCACAGUAAGAGCUUGCUCUUACGGGUGGCGAGUGGCGGACGGGUGAGGAAUACAUCGGAAUCUACUUUUUCGUGGGGGAUAACGUAGGGAAACUUACGCUAAUACCGCAUACGACCUACGGGUGAAAGCAGGGGAUCUUCGGACCUUGCGCGAUUGAAUGAGCCGAUGUCGGAUUAGCUAGUUGGCGGGGUAAAGGCCCACCAAGGCGACGAUCCGUAGCUGGUCUGAGAGGAUGAUCAGCCACACUGGAACUGAGACACGGUCCAGACUCCUACGGGAGGCAGCAGCGGGGAAUAUUGGACAAUGGGCGCAAGCCUGAUCCAGCCAUACCGCGUGGGUGAAGAAGGCCUUCGGGUUGUAAAGCCCUUUUGUUGGGAAAGAAAAGCAGCAGGUUAAUACCCCGCUGUUCUGACGGUACCCAAAGAAUAGGCACCGGCUAACUUCGUG
rnacentral:rRNA from 1 species